AUAAUAAGGAAAUUUACACACUUCUUAUAUCAAUAAAUAUCACAUUUGCUUGAGUGAAAGUACUCACUCAAGCAAAAGGUAAACAAAUUCCCGCACUUCAAUUGGAAAUCGAAUUAUUCCAACAUUCUAUGACACUAUGUAUUUAAUAUAUAUAUUCCAUAUAUUCCAUGUAUGUAUAUAUAUAUAUACACCAAUAAGCCGACACCACGCCAAUAUCACGCCAUGUCCUAUGUAAAUAAUUGAAUUCGAAAAUAAAUAAUUAAUUUAAAAUUAAAACUAUUUCAACAGAACAAAAUGUAAAAGACACUCACUUCAAACAAACAUACACCGCGGCCGCGAAAUAUAAUUUACCCGAACGUACGCGCGCAACUCACCGACAUACCUUUCAUCAAUUUCAUUCACACUUGGACUUACCCGUCUAAAUCAUAACACAACCGAUUCAAAUUCUUUAAUUAAACGCACCAUAAUUUACUUUAAAUCAAUUAAAAUUAAAAUAUUAUAAUAAAUAAUUAAUAAAAUAAAAACAAAACACCAAACGAAUCUAUUUUCACCCGUCAACGAAAAUGAUACUAUUAUAUUAUAACAAUUAACAAUACCUAACUGCGACCUUAGUAUAGGUGUAUUUUGUGUCGCUACAGUUCAUUGAGAGACAAAAGUAGGGAUUUUUCCGAUGACGUCGGUAUUGCAGUUGAUUCGAAUGGUCAGGGAUGGUGAUUUUAAUUUGAGAGGCGGCAGAAUGUUCGAACAUACAGGGAUGCCAAACGGAGAGGCGACGGCGGUGCGAACCUAAACUAGAUACGAACAAACCUUGGAGUUACAAAUGCGUUCCACACGAUCCACAAGGCAAAAUCAUAAAAUUGCUUGUCAUUCUAUUUUAUAAUAAAGAAUUCGAUUGAACAAAGAA